GUAAAUUAAAUUAGACAUUAGAAUAAUUAAAAAAACAAACUAUAACAAACUACAUAAUUUAUUGGGAGACCAAUUAUGUUAUCAGACGAGCACAGAAAAUAAAAUCAUUGAGUUAUGAAACACGAAAGUAACACGAAGUAAGAAGGCUCACCUAGGAGAUACCCUGAAGCCUCUAAGCUGAUAUUUUACUCAUUCUGCACUUCUUUUAUGCACACAUGCAUAUAUUUUUAUGGGGUCUGCAAUGAUUCCCUUUGCCUGUUACAAACUUUUCACAAAAUCUUUGUACCCAUUUCCCAUUUUCAAUGGGUUCAGCAGAUAUAAUGAGCAAAUAUAACCAUAUGUAUGAAUCUAUACGGAUCUAUAAGUAAACGGCUCAAAAUGAUCACGUUCUACAAAUUUACUUCAAAUAAAUAAAAAUCUCAAUAGAUUUAAUAAAAAAAGAGAGAAAUGUGUGCAAAAAGCGCGCAAAGCUAAAAACUGUACAGGAUGCGCAAGCGAAGAAGAGAGCUAAGAGGAGAGACUUUCACAAUCCCAAUAUACGAGAAUUACUGUGUGUAAGGAGAGGCGGCUAAAGGUGUGUCAACAAAGCGGCGACGCAAAAAAAAUCUCAGGUUAUUGCACAAGGACAACGUCAUGAUCACUGUGAAAAGAUCGUAAUGAUCAUGACGAAUGUUGUACUAAAACAUAAUAGGAAGAGAGGAUCAUGACAGAGGAAACGUUGCGUUUUGCUGACAACCCGUUUUUUAGGGUUGCCAAAGGGGAUGGUGUUCCCUUUUCCCGUUCUACAAAGCAAACUGCGUUUCACCCCUUUGUGUAAAUGAAAUAGAGGCAGGAGCAGCAGCCAGGAGGCAGGAUCGCUUCGAAGUUCAAUUUUUGCGCGCGCGUCGCAGCAUCGAAUUUAUUUUUUUUAAUUUUCAACGCAUUCGCCGAUUUUAGUCGUUGAGAGUGCGUGGAUGGACGUGCAACGGGCUAAGCAAAAAUUGAAGUGCGAUAGUUCUGAAAUGAUGUGUUUAAAAUUUACAGAAAUUGUGGCAUGUUUAAGUAAAAAACAAUAUGAAAAAAUAAGAAGAGAUAAAAUCAAAUAUAAAACAAAUUUUCACCUCAGCAAUCGGACGUGGCGUGCGCACAUAUUUAUAUUGGAUUGGAUUUUGCGCAUUUGAAACUUUAAAUUGUAAAAUGUCGGAGAGAGAGAGAGAGAACGCCAAACAGGAGAGUAAAAACGCCGACAAAAGCAAAAACCGCCGAUAAAAGAAAAACACACACACGAGGAACUAAGCAGACAAAACAUUUUUGGCACAUUUUUGUGUCUAGCUGUUGGAAAUGUUGAACUUAUUGAUAAAAAAAAAAAUAAAGAAACUAAUCAAAAUUUAACCUAACUGCACAAAAGUUUUACCAACAAAACCAUUAAAAGAGCACACAGCAAAAUUCGUAUUUCAAUCACUCAAAAUUAUUUAAAAACAUGUGGCUUUUGGCGGUCAGCGAGUAGGAACACUAAUAAGGGUUGAUGGAAGCCAACGAACAUAACUGUUAUAGGCCUGCUCGGGUAUUCAGCUGGUCAGUGAAAUAGCCAAUGGUCGAAAGGUCUAAUUCAAAAUGGCAAAUCUAAAAUAUAUAACAUGCAAUGCGUUGCAGCAAUUCCAA